AACGCACGAGACCUGCGGACCUGCGGAGGGAUCAUUACCGUUGGAGUUCGCUCCAUCUGGGAUAGACACCCUUGAUUUUGAGUACCUUUUCGUUUCCUCGGCGGGUUCGCUCGCCGGUGGACAACCAUAAACUCUUUGUAAUAGCAGUAUCUUCUGAGAAAAACAAAUAGUCAAAACUUUCAACAACGGAUCUCU
rnacentral:misc_RNA from 1 species